CCCUUGAAAUAGUUGAAGCUGCCAGCAUGAUCUGAUGUUACCUUUGUAUUACGGUAGGAAUAGAUCAUGUUGCAGUUUCACCUGUUGAAUGG